CGUAGGGUGCGAGCGUUAAUCGGAAUUACUGGGCGUAAAGCGUGCGCAGGCGGUUUUGUAAGACAGAUGUGAAAUCCCGGGGCUCAACCUGGGACCUGCAUUUGUGACUGCAAGGCUAGAGUACGGUAGAGGGGUAUGGAAUUCCGCGUGUAGCAGUGAAAUGCGUAGAUAUGCGGAGGAACACCGAUGGCGAAGGCAAUCCCCUGGACCUGUACUGACGCUCAUGCACGAAAGCGUGGGGAGCAAACAGGAUUAGAUACCCUGGUAGUCCACGCCCUAAACGAUGUCAACUGGUUGUUGGGUCUUUACUGACUCAGUAACGAAGCUAACGCGUGAAGUUGACCGCCUGGGGAGUACGGCCGCAAGGCUG
rnacentral:rRNA from 1 species